UGAGGAACAUGACCUUCGGCGGGGGAUAGCCGGCCCAACGGCCGGGUAAUACCGCGUACGACCACAUGGGGACAUCCCUGAGUGGUGGAAGCAGCAAUGCGCCGAUGGAGUGCCUCGCGGCCUAUCAGCUUGUUGGUGGGGUGACGGCCCACCAAGGCGACGACGGGUAGCCGGCCUGAGAGGAUGGCCAGCCACAUUGGGACUGAGACACGGCCCAGACUCCUACGGGAGCAG
rnacentral:rRNA from 1 species